rnacentral:rRNA from 1 species
GACGUAGGGCGCGAGCGUUGUCCGGAUUUAUUGGGCGUAAAGAGCUCGUAGGCGGCUUGUUGCGUCAGCUGUGAAAACCCGCAGCUCAACUGUGGGCUUGCAGCUGAUACGGGCAGGCUUGAGUUCGGUAGGGGAGACUGGAAUUCCUGGUGUAGCGGUGAAAUUCGUAGAUAUCGGGAGGAACACCAGUGGCGAAGGCGGCUCUCUGGACAGAUAACUGACGCUGAGGCGGCGAAAAGCGUGGGAAGCAAACAGG